rnacentral:lncRNA from 1 species
CGCUUGAAAAAACACCUUAUUUCAUACUCUCUCUUCUUGUCUGUACACACAUCUACUGCAGCUAUGAUCACAAAGAACACUCGUUGUUUCAUUCUCUCUGUCUUGUUUUUCCUAUGUUUCUCUAUUAACAUCAAUAUUUCACAAGGAGGAGACAGCAUCAGAACAAACAAAUCUCUCUCUGGAAAUCAGACAAUCGUGUCUUCUGAUGGGACUUUUGAACUGGGAUUCUUCAAACCAGGUCCUUCUUCCAGUUAUUAUAUUGGAAUUUGGUACAAAAAUAUUAGUCCAAUGACCAUAGUUUGGGUAGCAAAUAGGGAAACACCCAUUUCAGACAUGAACUCCGCAGAACUUGAGAUUUUGGAUGAGAAUUUGGUGCUUAUGAAUGAGUCCCAGGUUUCAAUUUGGUCUACAAAUGUAAAUUUGACAACCUCAAAUUCUGUAGUGGCAACUCUAGGUGAUAAUGGAAAUUUAGUUUUGAGAGAUGAGUCAAAACCUAGGACAAGUGAAGGAUUUUGGCAAAGUUUUGAUAAUCCAACAGAUACGUUGUUGCCUGGUAGCAAACUUGCCUAUGACAAACGUACAAAAACAAAGGAAGUUUUCACUUCUUGGAAAAACUCCGUGGAUCCUGCAUCGGGGCUUUUCCAUUUGGAAUUAGAUCCAAAUAAGAGUUAGGUAAUCUUGAGAUGGAAUAGGACUGAAUGGUACUGGACUAGUGGAAGUUGGAAUGGUUUUUUCCUUCUUC